GUAUAAGGCAGGCUCCUUUUGGUAUUGGAAAGUUGGAAUAUGUGAAGUCGUCAAGUUUUAGUUUCGAGUGAACUACCUCGAAACGGUGGUAAGGAAGGGCCUUUCCAUCGAAAUGUCUGUUUUUGUUGUAUGAAAUAAAGAAAGAUAUAGUGACAUGUUUU